AUGCCAUGAUGAAGGCACUUUCGUAGUAACUCCUUGAACUGCUCCCAUGCGUCAUAUAAAGAUUCCUCAUCAAGUUGCUGAAAUGAUGUGAUUUCAUUUCAGAUCUU
rnacentral:snoRNA from 1 species